GACGAACGCUGGCGGCGUGGAUUAGGCAUGCAAGUCGAACGGUAUCAUCCUUUCGGGGGUGAGAGAGUGGCGAACUGGUGAGUAACACGUAGGUUAUCUACCCUCAAGACGGGGACAACCCAGGGAAACUUGGGCUAAUACCGGAUGUGAGCAACUUUUAGUUGUUUGAAAGGUGGCGUAAGCUGUCGCUUGGGGAUGAGCCUGCGUCCUAUUAGUUAGUUGGUGAGGUAACGGCUCACCUAGGCAAUGAUAGGUAGGCGGCCUUAACGGGUGGUCGCCCACACUGGGAUUGAGAUACGGCCCAGACUCCUACGGGAGGCAGCAGUCGAGAAUAGUCUACAAUGGUCGGAAGACUGAUAGUGCGACGCCGCGUGAACGAUGAAUCCCUUCGGGGUGUAAAGUUCUUUUAUAUGUGAGCAGUGCUUCUUAUAUUAACAGUAUGGGGAAGAGAUAUUAGCAUAUGAAUAAAGCAAACGGCUAAACUCCGUGCCAGCCAGCCGCGGUAA
rnacentral:rRNA from 1 species